GCAUACUUUCAAGACAGCACGCAUUAAACCCGUGGCAGGGUCAAAUAUCUGUGAUUGAAGGCAUAAUGUGAUCGUAGUUUAGCUCGAUGACCACGGGCUUGCCAUAGACAAUAACUAUUUCAUCGGGACUGAGUUCUACACCGUGUUUUUUUUUUAUUUCCGUUAAUUUCAAGGGUGCAUUCCUGAGCUUAAAUCAAGUAACUUUCUCAAAGACACCGAUGUUCUAAUUAAGUCCAUUUCGGAGAUAAUCCAUAAUUUAUUUUUUUCCUAUAAGGCCUCUACAAGCGUGUACACUUGCCUUAGGGCCGGCUUACAUAUUGAUUAGUGUUUAGAAUGAGUUCAUACAUUUGCUACUAAACUUAAGUACAAUCUCGGUCGAUUGAUGUACGAAAUGACAUUGAUAUGUCACAGAUUUCAAUUGUUUGGUUGAGUUAAAUGUAAUGCCCGAGUUACAACAACGCUAUAUGCUACAUUUAAUUACUUUUUAAACAAAAAAAAAAACAAAAAAGUAAACAAAAAAAAAAUUUUUUUUUGAAAAUUAACUAUGCCAUUUAGUUCUUAUAAACGUACUAAACUAUACCCCGAAGUUAACGGAAUUCAAUAAAAACACGGUGUAUAGUCUAAGAAAAUUUAAAAAACAUCAAAGACCAGUGGGGAAAGCCGGUUACGAAAUAUUCAGUAAGGUUCGUAAGGAAGCUAAAGUUAGACCAAGAAAAAUGUGCAGCGAUUUUGAUAGCCUGCGCAGUGCAAGUGUUAUUUAUAGUUCGUUUUUGUUAGCAUUAGAAAUAAGGUAAACAAUCUUGAUGUGUCUUUUAAUUGAAAAACAUCAAAUGCCGUCUUUGGCGUCGUUGUCACGAUUUUGCGUUGACGUCAAUUGCCGUCUGUGGCGUUCAAAAGGUUAAAAGUCAUAAUUUCAUAGAAGUUUGACGAUUAAAAUAACACUGGCACUGCGUGGGCUAUCAUAAUCGCUGCAGACUUUUCUUGGUCUAACUCUAUAGAGUCUAUAGACGAUCCUAUAUUGACAGCAGUCUUUCCCUUAGUAAAAAAAAUCCUUUGUUAACCCCUUGACUGUCAAAGACGUCAACUGACGCGCUCGGCUACAGGCCAAUAUCAACCAUAGUGUAUUCCGACAAGGUUCACGAUGGCGUGCCGCGCGCGAUAGACCCCUAUAGGGCACGAAUGGCGUUCAAAGGGUAGAGAGUAUUACUUACAUCAUAGAGUAACAUAAGUAAAGAAAGAGUGGUAACUCCAUACAUCAGUUUUCUUGUCAGGACGCGCGUUAUUUCGUAGUCGACAUCUAACGUCAAGUAGUGGAACUAUCAGUACCCCUACCUUGAGACGAGAUGUCACAAGUGUAGCUACUGACAAAAAAUGUACUACUAAAACAAUUUAUUUACAACUAAUAUUAUAAGCAAAAUGGGGUUGAAAAUAGACUUCCAGUUAAUCCGGAUAUAAUAUUAGCUGAAAAUUGUUGAGCAUUAGAGUUUUCAUUCGCCGAGACAUCUAUUGUCAUCUAGCAGUACUGAUAUAUUCCGCUACUUGACGCUAGACGUACGAAAUAACGCGCGUUUUGGUAAGAAAACUGAUGUAUGGAGUUACCACUCUUUCUUUACUUAUAUUACUCUAUGAUUACAUUGAAGUUAUCUAUCAUUACCUGUGCGAGAUAAAUAAUUAAAAACUGGGCCAUUUUCGCUUAGCAUAUCAUUGUAUUAAAAUGUUAUUGUUCGAUAUGCUAAGCAUUUCAACAUUUUAGAAAGAAAAGUAUUAUACAGGAGUCAGACUCGCGCUUGGCCGCCUUUCAAAAAGGCUAAAAACAAAAAAACAUUGUCUAUGGCAAACCCGUUAAUGAAUAGAAUUGGCCGUUUUUCAGUACAAAAAUUCUAUUUAAAAAUUAGUGUUUUUAAAAUUCGUCAAGAAAAAUGUCUAUCUCUUUCUAGUUAGUAAAAUAAGGUGAGAUUGGGGUGAGCACUGAUUUAUUUAGGCUGGCAACAUUAUUAAAAUAAAAUCCACUGCAGCGUAUGGUCAACAAAAAAUAACACCUUUUGGCCAUCAAUAAUAUAAAGUUAAGUUCGCGUAAUGAUUUAUUCGCAUUUGUUGCAACGUCUGUAGAAGCCUUUAGUCGAUUGUCAAAUCGGCGCAGAGGGCCUAUCGGGAACAUCGAAGUUCGCAAAUUGCAUCUUUCUUUCUCUGUCACUUUAAUUGUAGUAAAAGAGAAAGAUGCCCGCAAAUUGCGAACUUCGGUUUUCGCGGUCUAAUAGCCCAGAUUUAGACGGAAUACUUAUAGUAGAAACGUAUGGUCUUAAAAUAUAUGGUCUCAUCGCCAGCCCAAAUAAAUCGGUCCCAUAGUUAGAACUUUUGGUACGACGGUGUUUUUUGGAUGUUAAAAAUGUUGCGAUUAAAAGUGGUUUUUGUUGUCUAUGCUAAGGUGUUGCUAGUAAGAAAAAUAAUUAGUUUCAAUUAAGUUUCCCAUACUUUAUGUAUGUUCUUUUUUAAAUUAUUGGUGCUAAGUAAUUAUUAAUUUUAUU